GGGGAAUUGUUCACAAUGGGCGCAAGCCUGAUGACGCAAUGCCGCGUGGAGGAAGAAGGUCUUCGGAUUGUAAACUCCUGUUGCCAGGGACGAAUGGCUCCGACCUAACACGUCGGAGAAUGACGGUACCUGGUGAGGAAGCCCCGGCUAACUCUGUGCCAGCAGCCGCGGUAAUACAGGGGGGGCGAGCGUUGUUCGGAUUUACUAGGCGUAAAGGGCUCGUAGGUGGCCAAUUAAGUCAGGCGUGAAAUCCCCAGGCUCAACUUGGGAACUGCGUCUGAUACUGGUUGGCUUGAAUUCGGGAGAGGGAUGCAGAAUUCCAGGUGUAGCGGUGAAAUGCGUAGAUAUCUGGAGGAAUACCGGUGGCGAAGGCGGCAUCCUGGACCGAGAUUGACACUGAGGAGCGAAAGCCAGGGGAGCAAAC
rnacentral:rRNA from 1 species